rnacentral:lncRNA from 1 species
GUAAGAUUGGUGUUGAACAGAGUGUGACAGUCUAUGAGACAGAGUCAGAUACAAAAAUGUACUCUCACUGUAUACUGUUGGUCUGUGUAGCUGAGAUUUGUCAUAGGAAGUGUAGGAUUGACUGAGUCGCACUUACCCCUCCUCUCUCCACCAAUCUGAAGUGACAGAGAUGGAGACGGAGUGUUUCAGCAGAGGAAACCCAUCUGUCACCCUAGCAACUGGGGGAGAAGGAGGGGUAAUCCAACAGAGACACAGCACAGGCCUGUCAAUCAUGCCACCUCCUGGAGCUUCUGGUUGUGAAGGGAGAGGAUGAAGAGUGGAUCAGUAUUAAGGUAAGGACAGGCAGGAAGAAGAGGUGCGCAGUGACUAAAAUGUAACACAGAACAUUUGAUGAUAUAUUACUCUGUGCACCUGGACUGUUGUUAAACUCACUGAGCAUAACACAUGCUGAAUUGAAUUGCUUUUUGGAUCUCACAAAGUCAUGUCCAGAGAUAUUCUUGUUACUGCUUCAGAAUCAAUACUGAAAAAAAAUCAAUGUUUGAAAGAGAAAUAGCUCUCUGUUGGUUUAGAGUGAUCUUUUAAAGCUGGUCAAAGGUUCUUGGACAGAUGCCAUUUAAUAUAAACCUCUCAGAUUUGGAAGAGCCUUCAUUAUUUUUAACCCCGGGUAAUUUUUUGACAGACGAAACUAGGCUUAGACAUCAAGAACCAGUUUCAACUUGGACCCAGUUUUGAAUGCCUGAGAUUCGUGGAUUCAACAAGUCACACGAAUUUUGGUUCCACUUUUAGGUUCAUGACGGCUGCAAAAAUCUUUCGGGACUAAUAUUUAGAGAGAUCGACAGUAGCUGUCCAACAAAGUCUAACUCAUGGACUUGAAGUGUGGAUGUUCUGUUAUUAUUUGUGAAGUAGUACAUAAACAAAAUUGUGAGAGAAAUCAUGCAAAGAUAAUGACAUAGUGCAGAUGCAGUUGCACAAACAUUUCAGACAGUAUGGGGAAAACUGUCACAUCAUAUCACAUCAACAGACUCAUUUUCCAUUUAUAUGUAGAAUUGUUAUCUCUCUAUCCACCUACAUUGUACUGUACAAUUUGUAUCAAUCAUUUUGUACCAUGUCAUAUCAUAUUGUUUCUCAUCGCAUCAUGUUGCACCAUAUCACAUAGUAACGUAGAGAACAUAUUUUUCAUAUCAUUUCAUUAUCUUGUGUUUUCUACAAUAUUGUAUAGUUUUGUAAUUGAUUGUAUCCUAUUGAAUAGUACCACAUCAGUCUUAUGGUGUCCUGUUUAAAAGACUAUGGUGCCCUAAACUAAGUUGUUAAAGUUUAAUAUUGUGUAGAAUAGUAUAGUUACAGAAAAUUAAAACUAAAGUAAACGUUUUGGAUGAAGAAACAAGCUAGUGAUUUCAGGUGAUUCCGUGUUAUCAAAAAGAAGGAAACUAGAGAAAAAUGGGAAUUAUUAAUUUGUAUGAUGUAAAUACUAAAACAUGCCCACAUUACCAUGACAACUUAGCAAAGCUGACUUCAACUUUGAUGAAAAUAACAUGGUGGGAGUUCAUCUUCAGAACCACUUAGCUAUUUUGAUUCAGACUGAAAUUUCUCUUUCUUUAGAUCAGAUAACCUCAGUGUUACCUGAACAACAUUCCUUAUAAGAAAUCUUUAUAAAAUACCUCAACAUCCACUGGCGGAAAAUUUACAGCGAUUUAUUUAGGACAAAUUCAGACAGUUUUUGGUUCCUCCUUGAUUCAAUAUCUGGUGAUAUCUAAAAGUUGAAUUUUGUGGUUUUGAGUGAAAUCACUCCAGACACGAAUUAAAGGUUGAACAUAUGGCAGAUUGUGAUCUCUAACCUCUGCACCAAUAAAGUUGUGUUUAAUACUCAUGAGUAGGACCUAAAACUGUCAAUCGUUUAUUUUCAAAAAGUGUGUUUGUGGUGUUGAAUGCAAAAAGGAUUUGUAGUUUAGUGUACCACUGAAACAGGAGGAUGAAAAAAAGAAAAUGCUCCACAGCUUUUGUUAUUUAUAAGGCAUGUGCUGACAAUAAUAUGCAGUAAUGAAAUAUCUGCCACUGAACAUAAUAACUUCUUCUUUGAUCUCAACCUGUUAACGUUUGGUGAUAGUAAUAUUUCAAGCAUUAGUUCCUCCACAACAUGUGGUCUGAAGCCUUAGGAGAUACAGUACAUGGUACCAAGACUACAAGCUGUCAACAUGGAUUCCAGGAGCUUCACAGUGACCUUGUAUGAACCGAUAAGUCCUGUAUCCUCCCGCUCCAUCUCAGUGUCAGCAUAAGACAUGACACAUGUCAAAAACCGUUAGGCACAGCCAUGUCAGAGGAGCUCAAAUAAAACACACACGUGCCCUGAAAUUAUUGUAUGCAAAGACAAGCAACAGAAAAAGAUUCAUGAGGCUGUUUCACAAACCAGGGUACUCUUCUUCUCUCUUUAGUCCUGCUAAAUAUUGCAGCUGGCAUGGAUUAGGAUCAGCUCUGUUUGUGUUUCUGCGUCUUUGAUGAGGAGUGCAGACGUCAACGGAAGCAUCAAAUAAUCCUGUUCUUGUCUGAAAACAUCCGAGGAGCUGGACUAUUGCCAUACAUGAGUAAUUUUAUGCUUCAUGAAGUGAAAUUUCUUGGUAUGAUUUAUUAUUGUUUAUGACAGGAGGACAAAUCUCAACCCCACGUCCUUCAGCAGAGCACAUUUCCCACUAUGAGGCCAUGUAAUCCUCUGAGCCCUGCUGAUCCCAGAACCACAGGGAGACCAGUAGAAACCCAUAACCCAGCCCCGUUCUGGGCAGCCAAAACAGAUCCUUUCCCCCUAGGAGUCCUGAUACAGACACAGAGGGGAUAAUGGCCUCCUUUUGAAAAGUCAGUGUGUGGUACAUUGCCAUAACAUCAGUAAUCAAAUCUUCUUUACUGACCAAAUAGCAGGGUUAAGAACUGUGUGGAAGGCCAAAUCUGGAUGCUUGUCAUCAUUUUCCUCUUAAGUUACUAAAAGCAUGAAAACCAAGCUGCAGAUAUAAGUCAAGGAUUUUGACUGCAGCCUUCAUUUCCAGAACUUAUGACUCAACUUAGACUCAAGCACUUUUGACCCAGACUUGAACUUGAGCACUGAAUGUAUUAAGACUUUAAAGCUGAAGAGAAGAAUUCAAACUUCUUUAUUGAGACAGACUUUUAUUCUUUUGUUGUUAUUUUAGUAUAAGCCCUUUUGAUAGAGGGAUGGCAUGUGUGUGUUCACCUGCAUGCACAAUCAAAUCACGUGUUUUCUUGUUGAACGACAACUCCUGCCAGGAUGCUUUGGGAGGUGCCAAUUGUGUGUUAUGCUCGACAAUAUUUUGUAAUGAGUGCCAGGAAAGGCAGCGCAACAUGUUCAGUACAUAUUUAAGAAGCCAUGAAAAAAGGCAAGGGACAAAUUCAAACUUUUACAGACAUCUGUCCAGCAUACAGCCAGACAAAGACAAUGAGAUGCUGUAGGUAGCACGUUUAUAGUAUGUUACUGUUGACACAGUCAUGUCAGUAACCAAGAGGAAUCAACCCAGUGAUCUCCAGAGUUUGGGCUGUAAAAUUCUGAUUGAUAGCAUUGAUAGUGUAAUUUCAAGUCACCUGCAGUAACCCAACUUCAUAAUACAAGAACUUUAUUUAUCCCCGAAGGGCAAUUCAUUAAAAUCAACUUCAUGUAUAAGAAUUGAUGAGUGUGUCCUCUUACUGAAAUGCAUUUACGCACAAUGCACAGCACUGUUACUCGUGCCAGACAUGCUGACAGGAUCUGUCAGCAUCUAAUGUAAAUCGAUGAAAUGUGUUUUCAAUUCAUCCCAAAGGUCCCACACAGUCAGCUGAGGUUUAUACAGUGAAGAGUUUCAGGCAAAGCAGCGGUCCUCCUUUCAAUAAACAACAUCAAUAAUGGGGAUUCAACUCUAACCCGCAGACUCAGAUUCUUUUAUGGACUUGACUCAGACUUUAACUCUGAGGAUUCAACUUGGACUCAACAUUUAGUGACUCAACACUGGCAUGCACAGAAGAGGAGAGAAAAAGUCAUAGUGAUAAAGGUUUCUCAUACACCCCCUUAAAAAUGUUAGAGACUUACUCUGAACCUUUAAACAAAGAAACCUUUUUAAAACAAUUAACACUUUCCCCCUCCAUUUUAUUCUCCUUUACAGCCUACCUACCUUUGUUGCUGACUGCAUAACAGUUACAGGAUCAUUUUUGUCGCCAACUCUGGAACACUGACUUGACAUUUAUGUGAUGAACAGGAAUAUUGUCUGUCAAAUCUGCAAAUAAUGUGAUUAUUUUAGUCUGUUCUGUACACACAGUAUCUGUUGAAUACCACUCAGUCAAUAAAUGGG